AAAACCGACGGGAAAUGUCUCGCAGCAUAGGCCUUUACAUCGGUCCAUUUAGAAACCGAUGGGAAAUCUCUCCCAUCAUUUUUCACGAAAACCCUAGCCUCCUUUUCAACACAAAAAUUAUUUCGUCCGUUCGAAACCUCCUCCCUUCAUGCGCAACAAAUAACUCACACCGAACCAAAUCUUCAGUCAUCUAUGGAACAACAUUCAAGCGCAGAAAACGGAGAAGAAAAUGAAGAACUCGCAGCAGAUUUGAGUGCUUUACCUAAGAAAUUUCUAGAGAAAUCCUCUUCUCUGUUCUGAUUGUUGCUGUUGAUUUCUGCCGAAACCUCUUCUGCCGAAACCUCACCUCCUCCCUUCGACCUCCUCCGACGACAUUCAUCCAAAUAUAUUAUCAAAUUACCACAUUCAUCCUCAAAUGUUCUUAUCACCCAAAUUCAAAGCAUUGAAAUUGAAACAGCACAACGUUGUUAUCAUCGAAACCCAAAUUCCCAGAUUCAUCAAAACCCAUUUCACUGAAACGCAUUUCACCGAAACCCAGAUUCACCGAAACGCUUCUUUCAUCGCACAGCUCCGAAAUCACAUAGCUCAUUCUCUCAUGAUACCGAAACUCUUCACUCCAAAAACCAGAUUUGAAUAUUAAUGAAUUCAAACUCCGAAGAGAAAAACUUGAGAAUGAGAAGAAAGAUAAGAAGCUUCAGGAAAAGAAAAACUGAUGAAAAGAAGCUUACAGAUAUGCAUGUUUAUGGUGAGAUACCCAUGACUGGUCCCUUGAAGCUGGUAAGGUGUUUGUACUCUUGCAUUCAAUGCAAUUUUCAAUCUACUUCUCGGCAACUGAAGUGUAGGGACUGCAUCAUGAGACUGAGUCGGCCACAUGGAGUCAAAGACAGUGUCAACAUGGACUGUAUCGAACUGGACGGAGAGCUCAAUGUGAAAUAAUCCAUUGAAGAAGCACUAUGUGAAUUUGAAUAGGAUACAGGUGAAGGAAAACAUCCCCUACAGGACUUUCAUCCGACGAUGCCGGAGCACGACUUCACAUUUUUGGUCCUAACAAACUUGAAGAGAUAAAAGUAACACAUCUUCUCCCUAGCUACUACCAUUAAACUUGAAGAGAUAAAUGUAAGACAACUUCUCCUCUUUUAUGGGUUAUUCAAGCAACAACUUUGAUGGCAGUUGCCCUUGCCAAUGGUGGGGUCAGUACAAAACUUAAUCUCCAACAUUAUUAUUUCAUUUUAAAUUACUUCUUCAUCCUUAAUUAUUCGAGAGGUCGGUCUUUUCAAGGGGGAGGGUCCUGAUUGGCAGAACUUUUCAGUAGUGGUGAACAAUUUAGUUUGAUAUAUCUCAAAUUGAAAGUUAAUAUCUCAUGAAAAAUUAGUAACAAGAGCUUUUGAUUAAUUGAUAAGAUAAAAAAAGAUCUUUUGAUUCAUUGAAAAAAAGAUAACAAAUUGUGUGCAAGGGACUUAUAGGAUUAUAAAUUCUGUGUCAGAUAGACUUGAUCUUCAUUUUGAAUUUGGAAUCUAACUAGUUUGUUUAUAACUCUAUUGUAUAAGCAUGUAGAUAACUCUUUAGAAGAGGUAAUUGGCAUGUACUUAUAGACUUAUGUGGUAUGUGAUGUCCUUUGUUUGCUAUUUAACAUUUGGGUAUUUAAGUUAAGACAGAAACCAGGCUUUAUUUUAAUGUCCUAAUUCUUGGUGGGACACUUAAGUGUGUGUUUAUUGUAAACAUUGACGGAGAACAAUUUGUGGGCAUUUAACUCUUUAGAAGAAGAAGCUAACAUAUAUUUUAAGACUUGUUUAAUAUAAGAAAAAAAAUGGUAUUUGUUGACACAUGGUAUCUAGAAGAAUCAUUAACUGUAUUUAUGAUGUUUGAACAUAACUUGUGACACAUACUAUAUUUAUUUUAUUUAUAUAAUCAUGAAUUACAUGAGUAUUGGACUUUGCUGGUUAUUCUAUUCACAUGCUGGAUAUUCACAUACUAUAUUUAUUUUAUUUAGAUAGUCAUGAAUAACGCUGAACCAUAGUGACAAACAAAAACCAGACCUCUAAAUAAAUAAUUAAGUAAAUUUAAAGUAAGAGAUAGUUUUUUAUUUAUCUUUCGAUUUUUGAUAUAUUCUUGGUAUGUUACAGAUGAUUCUUGUUUAAUGCUACUAGUACUCCUUUACAAUUGUUGAAUUAUAUUUGAGUAUGAUGUAAAGGAUCAACUGUUGUUCUUGUAAGUUGAAGUACAAAUUUGAACUCAUUUCCGGUACCGAGCAUAGCUAUUGAUUUUGAUAUUUCAAGGUUGGUAAUACUUUAUGUCUUAAACAUGUUCCUAUUGCUUAAGUAUUAAAAUAGAUUACUAUACAACAAAGCGAACACUGUUAGGAAUAAUUUUUAUGAUUUAAUUUAAUGCCACGUGUUUGCACGUAGAGACUUUUGUUCUAUCUAAUGUGUCCAAAAGAGGGACUAUUGUAGGCAUCCCAAUGAUUUAACUCUGUAUGCAUUAAUUUCAGAACAUAAGCAUGGAUUGUAGUUGGAUGAGAGCUAAUCGAUUAAGUGCUGAGUACGAACAUGGAGUGAUGGAAUUUCUACAGUUUUGCAAAUUAAUAUAAACUUUUAAAGAAUAACUCUAUUGUUUUUUACGUAUUGCAGGUAUUCGAUGAUCCUACAGAAUUGACACAAGAAGAUUUGUAUGAUUUGCGACUGUGUUGGGCAAAAUAUUUCUUUGAGUUAUAUAAAGAAUAACUUUAUGUUUCUCGUGGAUACAUGUUGGUUUUUCAAGUGCGCGAAAGGACUUAAAUGGUUGGAUAUUUGUUGUGUUAUUAUUUUGUAGUUGUAAACCGUGUGUAAACCUUUCUUAUCAUUUUAGACACUUGUGUAUCCUUGAAUAAUACUUUUUUAUAU